UCCUUCUUCAUUUUAAAAGAGAAAUCGAAAAUGGGAAAGAGAAGGAGAGGAGUCGUCAAUGAGAGAAGGAGAGAGCUGAGUUCAAGUGGGUGAGCCGAGAGGAGUCCAAGCAGAGUGAGAGCCAAGUGGAAGAGAGACGAAGAUGAAAGGAAUAGGGCGGCCGGAGAAGACGAAAGGACAGAAGAGAAGAGUCAGAACCACAAGGGAAGAGAAGAAGAGAGAGUCGCAGAGGCAGAAGCUGAAUGGAAGGGGAAGGAAAGGAAAUCGAGCCGAGGAGCACCGCGUGAUGGCAUAACCCGAAGCGAAAUAAGGUGUGAAAUUCGUUGUAUAAACUUCGAAGCAAGCAAGGAGUGUCGCGGGGAACCAAUAAGACCAUCCUCGAAGUCGAACCCAAGGCCGAAUUGCACCACGCUGACGCAUGUAAGCUUUUUCUGUUAUUGUUUUGGCUGUAGGGUGACCGGGGCAGGCGGUUGAUGUCGGGUUGACCGCGCGAGCUCAACCUAGUCGCUCGCCCACUCGAAAACAGAGGAGUUUCCUUAGGUGUGGGAACCUGAUACUCCCAGGUCUUGAAAUAGGGACCAUUGGGGAGCAGAUUGCACACCCUUACGGUAUGAGUCGGGCAUCCCGUCGAGUUGUCAUUGGAACCCAUGAUUUCGGUUGAAUUUAGCUUCUGUUUAAUAUUUAAAUUGCAUUAAUUAAUCUGUGUCAUGUGUGUGUACAGUGAAUUAGGACCUUCGAACAUAUCUAGGAAGGUCGUUAUGCAAAGGAGUUGUAAGUAUUUUCGAUUCUGAACCUAGAUUAGGAUUUUGAAUUUAUGCAUGUAUAUUAUUAAU